GGUGAACUUCGUUUGCAGUGGAAAUCCUCGCCAUUUUUCUUGGCGAGAUUGCAACGGAUAGCAGGAUUAGCU
rnacentral:sRNA from 1 species